GACGAACGCUGGCGGCGUGCCUAAUACAUGCAAGUCGAACGCAGUGGGGACGGGUGAGUAACACGUGGGUAACCUCCCAUCAGAGGGGAUAACACUUGGAAACAGGUGCUAAACCGAUACUGAUGGAUGGACCCGCAGUGCAUUAGCUAGUUGGUGAGGUAACGACUCACCAAGGCCACGAUGCAUAGCCGACCUCGAAGGGGGAUCGGGCACCUGGGGACUGAGACCCGGCCCUGACUCCGACGGCAGGCAGCAGGAGGGAAUCUUCGGAAAUGGAGGAAAGUCUGACCGAGCAACGGCGCGUGAGUGAAGAAGGUUUUCGGAUCGUAAAACUCUGUUGUUAGAGAAGCGGUAUCUAACCAGAAGGCCACGGGUAACUACGUGCCAGCAGCCGAGGUGAUAC
rnacentral:rRNA from 1 species